AAGUUCCGCAGAUAGGUAUUGAAAAGAUCAACUUGGCGUUGAUCUCAUCCUCAAAUUCGUUAUGGAUUUUGCAUGAUCAAGAUCUGGUCAGAUCUGACUUUGUCGAAUUAAACCAGGAGCUUGGAAACUAAUUUUUGAAUUAAACCAACUGGGGGAUGUUUGGGUUAUACCAUGGUGAUAACCGAGAGAGGCAAUUGCUAAGUUGUGAUACUCUCAUACCUUUACUAGAUGCGAACAAUUCCGGAGAAGAAGAAGAAGUGGAAUCGGACGAGGAUUUUAUUUAUGUUGUUGGGAUUCUUAUAUUGAUGGAGUAGAAAAAGUACAGGGACAAAUAA